AGCGAACGCUGGCGGCAGGCUUAACACAUGCAAGUCGAACGGGCACUUCGGUGCUAGUGGCAGACGGGUGAGUAACACGUGGGAACGUACCUUUCGGUUCGGAAUAAUACAGGGAAACUUGUACUAAUACCGGAUACGCCCUUUGGGGGAAAGAUUUAUCGCCGAUUGAUCGGCCCGCGUCUGAUUAGCUAGUUGGUGGGGUAAUGGCUCACCAAGGCGACGAUCAGUAGCUGGUCUGAGAGGAUGAUCAGCCACACUGGGACUGAGACACGGCCCAGACUCCUACGGGAGGCAGCAGUGGGGAAUAUUGGACAAUGGGCGCAAGCCUGAUCCAGCCAUGCCGCGUGAGUGAUGAAGGCCUUAGGGUUGUAAAGCUCUUUUGUCCGGGAAGAUAAUGACUGUACCGGAAGAAUAAGCCCCGGCUAACUUCGUG
rnacentral:rRNA from 1 species